GCGCUGCUGACGAGUCCCAAGCAGGACGAAACAGCUCUGUCCAGUGC
rnacentral:hammerhead_ribozyme from 1 species